AAUUCAGAAGUAUUUUGUAGAAAUGUAAAUUAGGCAUAAAAUAGUAAAUCGCUUUUUUUUUUUUUAGGGCCUUUUUCAGCAGCUGUAGAUGUGCCACAAGACAUAAGACACACGCAGUUCUCCAUUAAGACUCAAAGCAGAACAAAGCAGAGGACAUGAGGUGCUAAGGGAAGGAGGUAUAUGAAGGAUUUGUCUUUGCUCUUGGUAUAAAAUAACAAAGAUGGUUCUUACAUCAGAUUUUGUCACCGAACAGAGGCACAAACCUCCCCUUCCCCUGCAGGUCAGGAUCUCUAUGUAUAGGCCAACAACACGACAAGUCCAAACAACACUUUAUUUCACCUUUUAAGAAUCAUUGUUUAAAUGAAUUAUCAGGAUUGUUACAGAACCAAGCACUAUAAUCUAACUUUUUGGUACUCAUUGACCUACGUAAGAAUUUGGAUUUGGCCCCGCAUGAAUUCCAGAGAUGUGCUGCUGCAUUUGUGUUUCCACUUAUGAAUCAUACAGUUUUUACCUGGCUGGAAUCAAUACAUCAAAAAUAUGUUAUUCACCCAAGUUACUACUUAGCAUGAUAGUUUUUAGCAGAAUCAACAGUCUUAUCACUGUUAGCACCAGUGUGUAAACACUUUGUGACAGUAUCUCUUGAGUACUACCACAGAACGUGAUAGUGAAGUGCCUGUUAUUUAGAUAUCAUUUUCUUAAUAGCCAAGUUACAUGGAAAAGGCAACUCACAGCUUGGCAAGUGAUUUUAUUUUAUUUUUUUUUUUAUUGUCAAGAUUUUGUUUGAUUUGCAGACUUGCUGAGAAAAGCUGCCUAAGGCAGGCUGCUGACCGGCCACCCCGUCCUCAGCUGCUCGGAAGCUCAGGAUUUUUCUGCCUCCAAGUAGUGCUGCUUGCCUCCUGCCAUCCUGCAACGCCUCUCGAGAUUGUGUAGUCUGUGAUCACAAACACACCCAACAGGAAUUUGUGUAUUUAAGAAGUCUGUGAUAUGCCCUGGGAGGAUGUGAAUGUAGCAGGAGAGGAUGGCUACCCAACAGCUCUGCUUCACCCUCUUUACUAGCUUACUGCAAUGUGUAUUUUUACUUCACAAGCCAUACUAAACUUCAGUGUUACGUUUUUCCUCUUCUGUUGCAAGCAUUUUUUCCCCUGUUCUGCUGCCGAGUGGGGACAAAGCUCUCGGACCGAGCCGAGAGCCCGUCCUGCAGUUCCUCUUCCAUAGCCAAGUGGGAAGAUCCAGACGCC
rnacentral:lncRNA from 1 species